GCUAGGGGUGCCUUUGGCUGAGAAGUGAAUUUUCACUAACCCUCAACACCUGAUCUGGUUAGAACCAGCGUAGGGAAGUGUUUU
rnacentral:ncRNA from 1 species